rnacentral:snoRNA from 1 species
AGCACUUGUAUGUGUGGACAAAGACACAGGUACAAAAAAUAAAUCCUCUUUUUCAAUCCAGAACUCGUUCAGUAUGAAUUUUGAUGCAUAUAAAGAAAGAGUAUG